rnacentral:misc_RNA from 1 species
GAUGAAGAACGUAGCGAAAUGCGAUAAGUAAUGUGAAUUGCAGAAUUCAGUGAAUCAUCGAAUCUUUGAACGCACAUUGCGCCCGCUAGUAUUCUGGCGGGCAUGCCUGUCCGAGCGUCAUUUCAACCAUCAAGCCCCCGGGCUUGUGUUGGGGACCUGCGGCUGCCGCAGGCCCUGAAAAGCAGUGGCGGGCUCGCUGUCACACCGAGCGUAGUAGAUUUUAUCUCGCUCUGGGCGUGCUGCGGGUUCCGGCCGUUAAACCACCCUUUUAACCCAAGGUUGACCUCGGAUCAGGUAGGAAGACCCGCUGAACUUAAGCAUAUCAAUAGCGGAGGA